UACAUGGGGUGCAAACGUUGCUCGGAAUCAUUGGGCGUAAAGCGCGCGUAGGCGGUUAUCUAAGUCGGAUGUGAAAGCCCUCGGCUUAACUGAGGAAGUGCAUCCGAAACUGAAUAGCUAGAGUACGAAAGAGGGUCGCGGAAUUCCCGGUGUAGAGGUGAAAUUCGUAGAUAUCGGGAGGAACACCGGUGGCGAAGGCGGCGACCUGGGUCGAGACUGACGCUGAGGCGCGAAAGCGUGGGGAGCAA
rnacentral:rRNA from 1 species